rnacentral:rRNA from 1 species
UUCGGGAGCUCUGAGACAGGUGCUGCAUGGCUGUCGUCAGCUCGUGUUGUGAAAUGUUGGGUUAAGUCCCGCAACGAGCGCAACCCUUAUCCUUUGUUGCCAGCACGUCAUGGUGGGAACUCAAAGGAGACUGCCGGUGAUAAACCGGAGGAAGGUGGGGAUGACGUCAAGUCAUCAUGGCCCUUACGAGUAGGGCUACACACGUGCUACAAUGGCGCAUACAAAGAGAAGCGAACUUGCGAGAGUAAGCGGACCUCAUAAAGUGCGUCGUAGUCCGGAUUGGAGUCUGCAACUCGACUCCAUGAAGUCGGAAUCGCUAGUAAUCGUAGAUCAGAAUGCUACGGUGAAUACGUUCCCGGGCCUUGUACACACCGCCCGUCACACCAUGGGAGUGGGUUGCAAAAGAAGUAGGUAGCUUAACCUUCGGGAGGGCGCUUACCACUUUGUGAUUCAUGACUGGGGUGAAGUCGUAACAAGGUAACCGUAGGGGAACCUGCGGUUGGAUCACCUCCUUACC